rnacentral:rRNA from 1 species
GAUCAUGACUCAGGAUGAACGCUAGCGACAGGCUUAACACAUGCAAGUCGAGGGGCAGCAUGAUUUGUAGCAAUACAGAUUGAUGGCGACCGGCGCACGGGUGAGUAACGCGUAUGCAACUUACCUAUCAGAGGGGGAUAGCCCGGCGAAAGCCGGAUUAAUACCCCAUAAAACAGGGGUCCCGCAUGGGAAUAUUUGUUAAAGAUUCAUCGCUGAUAGAUAGGCAUGCG